rnacentral:rRNA from 1 species
AUUGAACGCUGGCGGCAGGCCUAACACAUGCAAGUCGAACGAGUGGCGGACGGGUGAGUAAUGUCUGGGAAACUGCCUGAUGGAGGGGGAUAACUACUGGAAAAGGUAGCUAAUACCGCAUACCAUCGGAUGUGCCCAGAUGGGAUUAGCUAGUAGGUGGGGUAAAGGCUAACCUAGGCGACGAUCCCUAGCUGGUCUGAGAGGAUGACCAGCCACACGGGAACGGAGACACGGUCCAGACGCCUACGGGAGGCAGCGGGGGGGAAUAUUGGACAAUGGGCGCAAGCCUGAGGCAGCCAUGCCGCGUGUAUGAAGAAGGCCUGCGGGUUGUAAAGUACUUGCAGCGGGGAGGCGUUACCCGCAGAAGAAGCACCGGCUAACUCCGUGCCAGCAGCCGCGGUAAUUC